UAGAUCUAAAGUCACAACAAAAAUUUUAUAGUAAAGCAUACUAUAUUAUUUAUUCACUGUGUAGACAUACUCAUGUAGAGUCUAACAAUUUUGUUUUUUUUUCUAUUUUAUGAUUUUUCUUUUUUUGUGAUUUACUAUGAUUUUUUCAAAACUCAGCCGAAAUAAAAAAGAUAAAAUCACUUUUAAAACUGCUUAUAAUAGAGUUAGGAAGGUAAGAUAAACAAUUUUAAAAGUUAAAGGAAUUGUUUUGCGCGGUUUUGAAGUUUAAAAAAGAAAAAUGAACUUUUACGGAAGUUUAGAAAAAUAAUAUAGAUUUUUCCUCAUCGUAAUACUACUAGGGUGUUUCUCCGGUUCUGAUUUCCUUUUGAGUUCUCGAUUACGCGAGCCACACUCAAGGUCUUUUUUUUUUUUGACAAUUACACUCAAGGUCCAGACUUUUCUGAUUCGGUGCGCACGUCUGAUAAUAAGCGUUAUAGAAAAAGGUAUAUAUAGAGUAUAUAGAAAAGGUAUAUAGAUUCGGAUGUGCUGGUGCCCGGACGUCCGAGAGACCGAUCCAUCGGACAGUGCCGUGGACGCCAUGCAUCCGCACGCGAUCCCUCCUGUCCUUCGCACGAAAUCGUGCCCCCGCCUGUUCCCUGCACGAAAUCGUGCCCCCGCCUAUCCCCCACACAAAAAAGAAGGAAAAUAAAGUCGCCCACCCUAGCACUGAGAACGCUAGGGACGCGCCCCAUCCCCCAUGUGCACCGAUCCGUCCAGCCUCAACCCUCACCGACUCCAGCACCACAGCCCACGACCAGCUCGCCCCCCAUAGCCCGUCCACCAGCUAUAACAAUAGAAAAAAGCUAUUGCAACAUCGAGAGAACAUAUAAUAAAACAAAAAAACUACUGCAACAAACAAAAAAAAAUAUUACAACAAUGAAUAAACAUCUAAUGCAACAAAUAAAAAUAUGAACUGCAACAUAAAAAAGGUCUACUGCAACAAUAAGAAACAUCCACCGCAAACAUGAACAAAUUGUUGCAACAACCAAAAAAAGUUGUUCCAACGUCUCAAGCACUACUAGUGCAACAUCGGGAAAAUCAGCAGCAACAACGAAGAAAAGCUAUUACCACAUCUCAAGUACUAUUACUGCAACAUCGAAAAACGCCUAUUACAAUAACCAAAAAAAUACCAUUAUAACAUUGCAAAUCAUCAGUUGCAACACUCAAACAGAACUAUUCCAACAACGAUGAGAUUUGACCCUAAGGGCUCAUCGGAACCCUAACCACCACCGCAUCCAUUAGAUCCAGACCAGAGGAGAUGAGGAGGAGGACGACGAGGAGAAGGUAGAGAAGAGUUUAGUCUAGAGGGUGGAGGAGGAGGAGGAAGAGGAGGAGGAGGAGGAGAAGUCUGAGAUCUAGACAAGAACCCCACCUACCUCGCGGGGUGUCGCCGGCAUCCAUGGAGGUCGCGGAACACCGCGAGGGAGAGAGAGUAGGGGGGAGAAAGACGUUUGGCUCGCCGAAAACCGCCUCCAUCACCCCCGACUCUGACUCUAGUGGUAUGGAGGUCGCGGGGCACCGCACGACAGGAGAAAGGGUGGAAGGGAGGGAGGGAAAGCUCGCUGGCAUCGCGGCGUGAAGCACAUAGAGGGAGGGGAGGCGCGGGCAUGAGCAAGGAGUGGAGGAGCAGGAUGAGGAGGAAGAAUAGAAGAUGAGCAGCGGGCAGAAAGAAUAAGUCGUGCGGGUGGAUAAACCGAGCGAUG
rnacentral:lncRNA from 1 species